rnacentral:tRNA from 1 species
GGAAGGGUCGCUCAGCGGUAGAGCACCGCGGUGGCACCGCGGCGGCCAGUCGGCCACGUGGCGUUCAAAUCCCACCCCUUCCG